rnacentral:rRNA from 1 species
CACGUAGGCGGAUUGUUAAGUCAGGGGUGAAAUCCCGGAGCUCAACUCCGGAACUGCCCUUGAAACUGGCGAUCUUGAGUCCGGGAGAGGUGAGUGGAACUGCGAGUGUAGAGGUGAAAUUCGUAGAUAUUCGCAAGAGCACCAGUGGCGAAGGCGGCUCACUGGCCCGGUACUGACGCUGAGGUGCGAAAGCGUGGGGAGCAAACA